UGGGGAAUAUUGCACAAUGGGCGCAAGCCUGAUGCAGCCAUGCCGCGUGUGUGAAGAAGGCCUUCGGGUUGUAAAGCACUUUCAGCGAGGAGGAAGGUGGUGAGCUUAAUACGCUCAUCAAUUGACGUUACUCGCAGAAGAAGCACCGGCUAACUCCGUGCCAGCAGCCGCGGUAAUACGGAGGGUGCAAGCGUUAAUCGGAAUUACUGGGCGUAAAGCGCACGCAGGCGGUUUGUUAAGUCAGAUGUGAAAUCCCCGGGCUCAACCUGGGAACUGCAUUUGAAACUGGCAAGCUAGAGUCUCGUAGAGGGGGGUAGAAUUCCAGGUGUAGCGGUGAAAUGCGUAGAGAUCUGGAGGAAUACCGGUGGCGAAGGCGGCCCCCUGGACGAAGACUGACGCUCAGGUGCGAAAGCGUGGGGCAGCAAACAGGAUUAGAUACCCUGGUAGUCCACGCUGUAAAACGAUGUCGAUUUUGGAGGUUGUGCCCUUGAGGCGUGGCUUCCGGAGUUAACGCGUUAAAUCGACCGCCUGGGGAGUACGGCCGCAAGGUUAAAACUCAAAGGAAUUGACGGGGUCAUAGCUGUUUCCU
rnacentral:rRNA from 1 species